rnacentral:rRNA from 1 species
GGAAAAGAAACUAACAAGGAUUCCCCUAGUAACUGCGAGUGAAGCGGGAAAAGCUCAAAUUUAAAAUCUGGCGGUCUCAGGCCGUCCGAGUUGUAAUCUAGAGAAGUGUUAUCCGCGCUGGACCGUGUACAAGUCUCCUGGAAUGGAGCGUCAUAGAGGGUGAGAAUCCCGUCUUUGACACGGACUGCCAGGGCUUUGUGAUGCGCUCUCAAAGAGUCGAGUUGUUUGGGAAUGCAGCUCAAAAUGGGUGGUAAAUUCCAUCUAAAGCUAAAUAUUGGCGAGAGACCGAUAGCGAACAAGUACCGUGAGGGAAAGAUGAAAAGAACUUUGGAAAGAGAGUUAAACAGUACGUGAAAUUGCUGAAAGGGAAACGCUUGAAGUCAGUCGCGUUGGCCGGGGAUCAACCUUGCUUUUGCUGGGUGUACUUCCCGGUCGACGGGUCAGCAUCAAUUUUGACCGUUGGAUAAAGUCUGAGGGAAUGUGGCAUCUCCGGAUGUGUUAUAGCCCUCGGUCGCAUACAACGAUUGGGAUUGAGGAACUCAGCACGCCGAAAGGCCGGGUACUUGUACCACGUUCGUGCUUAGGAUGCUGGCAUAAUGGCUUUAAUCGAC